rnacentral:rRNA from 1 species
UACGUAGGUGGCAAGCGUUGUCCGGAAUUAUUGGGCGUAAAGCGCACGUAGGCGGCUUUUUAAGUCAGGGGUGAAAUCCUGGAGCUCAACUCCAGAACUGCCUUUGAUACUGGAAAGCUCGAGUCCGGAAGAGGUGAGUGGAACUGCGAGUGUAGAGGUGAAAUUCGUAGAUAUUCGCAAGAACACCAGUGGCGAAGGCGGCUCACUGGUCCGGUACUGACGCUGAGGUGCGAAAGCGUGGGGAGCAAACAGG